UAGAUUGAAGCCAGUUGUUUAGGGUAUUUAGCUGUUAACUAAAUUUUCGUGGGGUUGGAGCCCACCGGUCUAG
rnacentral:tRNA from 1 species